UCAGAUAUUAGGAUGGGGUCCCUCUACGUGAUGAGCUGUCAGUAGUAGUGAGUUCAUGUUGCCUGAACUGCAGAGAUAAACCACACAGGAAGAGAGGGCUCUCACAGCCGUGCUUCACAUCGAUGCUCAGACAGUCAGCAGCAAGACGUCAUGGAGGUUACGGCUCUCUGUAAGCAACUGUUGUUGAAUGCACUGCUGCUGCUGGCUGCACGCGUACAGACAGGUCGUGGUGCAGAUGUUUGUAUCGUCCCGUCCAGACUGCAGCUCUUUGAGUACGAGUCGGUCUCUUUCAGCUGUCAGGGGUUGAAUGUCUCAGCCGGAUGGAGAGUCAGGAACAUCAAGAA